GACAAUGGCAUAUUAGGUAAAUU
rnacentral:snRNA from 1 species